UGAAAUUGAACUCGCUGUGAAGAUGCAGUGUACCCGCGGCAAGACGGAAAGACCCCGUGAACCUUUACUAUAGCUUGACACUGAACAUUGAGCCUUGAUGUGUAGGAUAGGUGGGAGGCUUUGAAGUGUGGACGCCAGUCUGCAUGGAGCCGACCUUGAAAUACCACCCUUUAAUGUUUGAUGUUCUAACGUGGACCCGUUACCCGGGUUGCGGACAGUGUCUGGUGGGUAGUUUGACUGGGGCGGUCUCCUCCUAAAGAGUAACGGAGGAGCACGAAGGUUGGCUAAUCCUGGUCGGACAUCAGGAGGUUAGUGCAAUGGCAUAAGCCAGCUUGACUGCGAGCGUGACGGCGCGAGCAGGUGCGAAAGCAGGUCAUAGUGAUCCGGUGGUUCUGAAUGGAAGGGCCAUCGCUCAACGGAUAAAAGGUACUCCGGGGAUAACAGGCUGAUACCGCCCAAGAGUUCAUAUCGACGGCGGUGUUUGGCACCUCGAUGUCGGCUCAUCACAUCCUGGGGCUGAAGUAGGUCCCAAGGGUAUGGCUGUUCGCCAUUUAAAGUGGUACGCGAGCUGGGUUUAGAACGUCGUGAGACAGUUCGGUCCCUAUCUGCCGUGGGCGCUGGAGAACUGAGGGGGGCUGCUCCUAGUACGAGAGGACCGGAGUGGACGCAUCACUGGUGUUCGGGUUGUCAUGCCAAUGGCACUGCCCGGUAGCUAAAUGCGGAAGAGAUAAGUGCUGAAAGCAUCUAAGCACGAAACUUGCCCCGAGAUGAGUUCUCCCUGAGACUUAGAGUCUCCUGAAGGAACGUUGAAGACGACGACGUUGAUAGGCCGGGUGUGUAAG
rnacentral:rRNA from 1 species